CGAGACAUUGUCCGCAGCUUCGACAAAGAUCAAUGGGCUCGUAGAUGGUGACGGUCGUCUCAAGAUAUUUUACCAUAGAAAUAUUCGAUUUUCCACAUAAAUCGGAACUACUCUUAAUGAAAUACAUUGUGGGGCACGUUCUCGUUAUGCGUUUGGCUGCUGUAUGUGUCCAAAUCAUCAAGACAUUUGUGGAUGUGGAGUAAUUUUUGUUUUUGUGGUAAUGCAAUUUUUGCUUCAUAAAUAGAGAGCUUGCUG
rnacentral:lncRNA from 1 species